rnacentral:lncRNA from 1 species
GCUGGAUCUCAUGGAGGCAUUUCCUCAACGGAGACUCCUUUGUCUCUGAGGACUCCAGUUUAUGUCAAGUUGACGCAAAACCAGCCAGAACACCCCCUUUCUCCUGAACUUGUACGGCAACAGGAUCAAGAGGAGGAGGAUCAAGAGGUAUCGAUCGCUUGGUGCCUGUUGAGGACUGUCUCAUGUCUGCAUGUGGUGGAGAACAGACAGCGCUGAAGUCCUUCCUUUUAGCUAUUGGAUAAGGUCACAGAUUUCAUUUGUAAAGAUUCUACCCCCACUGGAUCCACCUCGAGAGAUCAUCCUAUUAGGGUUUAACUUUGCAUGGGAAUUUUGAGUGGAACACAUUCAGGUUGAAAAGGAAUUUAAUCGUUUGUUCAACAAACACUGUGGUGGAUACUUUGUUGAGAGAACAAAAACGGGAUGAGUAUGUCUGACCGGUUAUUUAGUUGGGAAGGAUUGUAAAUAAACGUAUCUUUAGAAUAAAACCUUGGCUCAAAAAC